UACGAAGGGGGCUAGCGUUGCUCGGAAUUACUGGGCGUAAAGCGCACGUAGGCGGCUUUCUAAGUCAGGGGUGAAAUCCUGGAGCUCAACUCCAGAACUGCCUUUGAUACUGGAGAGCUUGAGUCCGGAAGAGGUGAGUGGAACUCCGAGUGUAGAGGUGAAAUUCGUAGAUAUUCGGAAGAACACCAGUGGCGAAGGCGGCUCACUGGUCCGGUACUGACGCUGAGGUGCGAAAAGCGUGGGGAGCAAACAGGG
rnacentral:rRNA from 1 species